GAUGAUUAAAGUUAAGUUAUACUACAAUGUUUCAAUAUGUGCUGUAAUUCAACAUGUACCAUUACUUUUUUACAUUUAUCAUUUUAGAACUUUAAAGAGUGGUAUAUACUUGUGAUGUGAACGAGUGAUGUGAAUAUUUUUCUGUACAUCAAUAAAAUUGUUAAACUAAAAAAAAAAAAAAAAAAACCACCGGUUGAUGAAUUU